AUUGCACCUGUCGACGAAACACAUUACAAUCAUUAGUACCAUGAGAAAAAGAAUUGUGCCACCGCGAGCCAAGGGACAGUCUCAGGUAGACAGUUUCUAUGGGACGUUGGUCUCCCGAAAGGUAACGGAGGCGUGCAAAGGUUUCCUCGGACCAGACAGACAUUGGUCCUCGAGUGCAAAGGCAGAAGGGAGCUUGACUGCAAGACUCACCCGUCAAGCAGAGACGAAAGUCGGCCUUAGUGAUCGGACGGUGCUGAGUGGAAGGGUCGUCGCUCAACGGAUAA
rnacentral:ncRNA from 1 species